rnacentral:misc_RNA from 1 species
GAUGAAGAACGCAGCGAAAUGCGAUACGUAAUGUGAAUUGCAGAAUUCAGUGAAUCAUCGAGUCUUUGAACGCACAUUGCGCCCCCUGGUAUUCCGGGGGGCAUGCCUGUCCGAGCGUCAUUGCUGCCCUCAAGCACGGCUUGUGUGUUGGGCCUCCGUCCUCCUCCCGGGGGACGGGCCCGAAAGGCAUCGGCGGCACCGCGUCCGGUCCUCGAGCGUAUGGGGCUUCGUCACCCGCUCUUGUAGGCCCGGCCGGCGCUUGCCGACACAUCAAUCUUUUUUCCAGGUUGACCUCGGAUCAGGUAGGGAUACCCGCUGAACUUAAGCAUAUCAAUAAGCGGAGGA